UACGGGGGGGGCAAGCGUUGUUCGGAAUUACUGGGCGUAAAGGGCGCGUAGGCGGUCUGUUAAGUUCGGUGUGAAAGCCCCCGGCUCACCUGGGGAACUGCGCCGGAAACCGACAGACUCGAGUACCGGAGAGGAGGGUGGAAUUCCUGGUGUAGCGGUGAAAUGCGUAGAUAUCAGGAGGAACACCGGUGGCGAAGGCGGCCCUCUGGGACGGUACUGACGCUGAGACGCGAAAGCGUGGGGAGCGAACAGG
rnacentral:rRNA from 1 species